GAUGAAACAGACGGGACCAACUCCCACUUCGCAUCCCAAAAGGACUGGAAGUUCCUCACGCUGCCCAUCAUCAUGGUGGUAGCAUUCGCCAUGUGUAUCAUCUGCCUCCUCAUGGCUGGUGACACGUGACUGAGACCCUGG